rnacentral:sRNA from 1 species
GGAGGCUGCGGCGCGGCGCUCGCGCUUCUUAGGCUUGGCGGUGGCGGCGGCGGCAGCUUCGCGCCGAGUCCCCGGGGAGCGGCAGUGGCGGCGUCCUGGGGCCAGGAGGAGCGAACACCUGCCGCGGUCCUCCCGCCGGCGCUGGCCCUGGGAUCUCCUGAAUUUCCAGGUUGGGCUACUCAGGCAUGGAUUGACUCCUACAGUUCAGGCGGAUGGAGAUCCCACCAACCCACAGCUUAAUUCUUCAGAUGCUUUAUCUUCAUUUCUCAUGUAUCUUCAGUUGGCUUCUAAUGCUCUGUGUGCUCCGGGAUGGAGCAGGUGUGCAGAGGGUGAGAAUCCAGGUCUGGGACCAAGUCACUUGCUU